GACGAACGCUGGCGGCGUGCCUAAUACAUGCAAGUUGAGCGCUGAAGGUUGGUACUUGUACCCACUGGAUGAGCAGCGAACGGGUGAGUAACGCGUGGGGAAUCUGCCUUUGAGCGGGGGACAACAUUUGGAAACGAAUGCUAAUACCGCAUAAAAACUUUAAACACAAGUUUUAAGUUUGAAAGAUGCAAUUGCAUCACUCAAAGAUGAUCCCGCGUUGUAUUAGCUAGUUGGUGAGGUAAAGGCUCACCAAGGCGAUGAUACAUAGCCGACCUGAGAGGGGGAUCGGCCACAUUGGGACUGAGACACGGCCCAAACUCCUACGGGAGGCAGCAGGAGGGAAUCUUCGGCAAUGGACGAAAGUCUGACCGAGCAACGCCGCGUGAGUGAAGAAGGGUUUCGGAUCGUAAAACUCUGUUGGUAGAGAAGAACGUUGGUGAGAGUGGAAAGCUCAUCAAGUGACGGUAACUACCCAGAAAGGGACGGCUAACUACGUG
rnacentral:rRNA from 1 species